rnacentral:lncRNA from 1 species
AAAUAAUUGUUUUGUACACUACUUUGUAAUCUUUUUCACUGAAAACGUAGCAUUGAGGUGUAUUUUCCGGAAUUUGCCGAGUAUCACCGGAAUGCCAUGUGAUAACGUUACGGAAAGGCAUGUGAUAACAAUCGAAGCAUGUGAUAAACUUUUCAUAUCAGCCCACUAAGCACCAAUUCGAAAAAUAUGGAAAAUACUUUAAUCUAAUUCUAUUAUCAUACGGUAAAAAUCAUAUGUUAUUUAGUCUAAGUAUAUGAUAA